AGAGUUUGAUCAUGGCUCAGAUUGAACGCUGGCGGAAUGCUUUACACAUGCAAGUCGAACGGUAGAGGGGGCAACCCCUCGAGAGUGGCGAACGGGUGAGUAAUAUAUCGGAACGUGCCCAGUCGUGGGGGAUAACGUAGCGAAAGUUACGCUAAUACCGCAUACGAUCUACGGAUGAAAGCGGGGGAUCGCAAGACCUCGCGCGAUUGGAGCGGCCGAUAUCAGAUUAGGUAGUUGGUGGGGUAAAGGCUCACCAAGCCAACGAUCUGUAGCUGGUCUGAGAGGACGACCAGCCACACUGGAACUGAGACACGGUCCAGACUCCUACGGGAGGCAGCAGUGGGGAAUUUUGGACAAUGGACGCAAGUCUGAUCCAGCCAUUCCGCGUGCAGGAUGAAGGCCCUCGGGUUGUAAACUGCUUUUGUACGGAACGAAAAGGUUUCUAUUAAUACUAGGAGCUCAUGACGGUACCGUAAGAAUAAGCACCGGCUAACUACGUGCCAGCAGCCGCGGUAAUACGUAGGGUGCAAGCGUUAAUCGGAAUUACUGGGCGUAAAGCGUGCGCAGGCGGUUAUGUAAGACAGAGGUGAAAUCCCCGGGCUCAACCUGGGAACUGCCUUUGUGACUGCAUAGCUAGAGUACGGUAGAGGGGGAUGGAAUUCCGCGUGUAGCAGUGAAAUGCGUAGAUAUGCGGAGGAACACCGAUGGCGAAGGCAAUCCCCUGGACCUGUACUGACGCUCAUGCACGAAAGCGUGGGGAGCAAACAGGAUUAGAUACCCUGGUAGUCCACGCCCUAAACGAUGUCAACUGGUUGUUGGGUCUUCACUGACUCAGUAACGAAGCUAACG
rnacentral:rRNA from 1 species